rnacentral:rRNA from 1 species
CACGUAGGAGGCGAGCGUUGUCCGGAAUCAUUGGGCGUAAAGAGCGCGCAGGCGGCUUGGCAAGUCGGGUGUGAAAUCCCGGGGCUCAACCCCGUGACUGCAUCCGAUACUGUCAGGCUAGAGGUAGGUAGGGGAGAUCGGAAUUCCUGGUGUAGCGGUGAAUGCGCAGAUAUCAGGAGGAACACCGGUGGCGAAGGCGGAUCUCUGGGCCUUACCUGACGCUCAGGCGCGAAAGCUAGGGGAGCGAACAGG